rnacentral:tRNA from 1 species
GCCUGGGUGGCUCAGUCGGUUAAGCGUCCGACUUCGGCUCAGGUCAUGAUCUCGCGGUCCGUGGGUUCAAGCCCCAUGUCGGGCU